rnacentral:rRNA from 1 species
CCUACGGGUGGCAGCAGUGAGGAAUAUUGGUCAAUGGGCGUAAGCCUGAACCAGCCAAGUCGCGUGAGGGAUGAAGGUUCUAUGGAUCGUAAACCUCUGUUAUAAGGGAAUAAAGUGGGGGACGUGGCCCGUUUUGUAUGUGCCUUAUGAAUAAGGAUCGGCUAACUCCGUGCCAGCAGCCGCGGUAAUACGGAGGAUCCGAGCAUUAUCCGGAGUUAUUGGGUUUAAAGGGUGCGUAGGCGGCCUUUUAAGUCAGCGGUGAAAGUCUGUGGCUCAACCAUAGAAUUGCCGUUGAAACUGGGAGGCUUUCUUAUGUUUGCGGCAGGCGGAAUGCGUGUUGUAGCGCUGACCUCCUUAGAUAUCACGCAGAACCCCGAUUUC